CCUACGGGAGGCAGCAGUCGGGAAUUUUGGGCAAUGGGCGAAAGCCUGACCCAGCAACGCCGCGUGAAGGAUGAAGUAUUUCGGUAUGUAAACUUCGAAAGAAUGGGAAGAAUAAAUGACGGUACCAUUUAUAAGGUCCGGCUAACUACGUGCCAGCAGCCGCGGUAAUACGUAGGGACCAAGCGUUGUUCGGAUUUACUGGGCGUAAAGGGCGCGUAGGCGGCCUAACAAGUCACUUGUGAAAUCUCCGGGCUUAACUCGGAACGGCCAAGUGAAACUGUUAGGCUAGAGUGCAGAAGGGGCAAUCGGAAUUCUUGGUGUAGCGGUGAAAUGCGUAGAUAUCAAGAGGAACACCUGAGGUGAAGACGGGUUGCUGGGCUGACACUGACGCUGAGGCGCGAAAGCCAGGGGAGCAAACGGGAUUAGAUACCCGUGUANUC
rnacentral:rRNA from 1 species